AGACAGAUGCUGGGAUGUGAUGGGGAGCGAAAUUUAGUAGCGAAGUAGCUGAUUUCACACUGUCAAGAAAAGUCUCUAUCGAGGUUAAAGGUACCCGUACCGCAAACCGACACAGGUGGGUGAGGAGAGUAUCCUAAGGCCAGCGAGAGAACUGUUGUUAAGGAACUCGGCAAAAUGACCCCGUAACUUAGGGAUAAGGGGUGCCACCAUCAGGUGGCCGCAGAGAAUAGGCCCAAGCGACUGUUUACCAAAAACAUAGGUUUCUGCUAAGUCGCAAGACGAUGUAUAGGAGCUGACGCCUGCCCGGUGCUGG
rnacentral:rRNA from 1 species